UUGAGCUAGUGCUUACUGUGUCUGUGAUACAGGGCAGGUAGCUGUAGGUGUGUGCUUGCCAUUGUUUAGGUACCAGUGACAUGCAUAAUGCAGUUUGUUAAAUAAGAAGUCUUUGCAGUUUAUCCUGUGUCAUCAUGGCUGAAAUUGAGGAAUCCAUGGAGAAUGUUGACAACCCCUUUAGUAGUCAAGAUUUUUCGGACUCAGAUCCUCCAUCACCAGAACAGCUACUUGCCAUGUUGGAAAAGCUGGCAAGUCUAUCCAAUGUAGAUCAAAAAGAGGUGCUGCAAGAAUUGUUCAAGCGAAAGUUACUUCCAGAACAAGCACCAGUAGAACCUGUUCAGCAGCUACUAACUAGCCAGUUUCUUGUUCUUCUGGCUUUGUUUUUUAUCAUUGCUACAGUGUUUGUAUUCUUUGGAUACAAGCUUUACAAGAGCUUAAAAGAAAAAGAGCGUAAGCGUGAUGAGAAGAAGAAACUUCGACAGCA